rnacentral:rRNA from 1 species
UACGAAGGGGGCUAGCGUUGUUCGGAAUCACUGGGCGUAAAGGGCGCGUAGGCGGCUUUUCAAGUCGGGGGUGAAAGCCUGUGGCUCAACCACAGAAUUGCCUUCGAUACUGUUAGGCUUGAGACCGGAAGAGGUGAGUGGAACUGCGAGCGUAGAGGUGAAAUUCGUAGAUAUUCGCAAGAACACCAGUGGCGAAGGCGGCUCACUGGUCCGGUUCUGACGCUGAGGCGCGAAAGCGUGGGGAGCAAACAGG